rnacentral:misc_RNA from 1 species
AAGUCGUAACAAGGUUUCCGUAGGUGAACCUGCGGAAGGAUCAUUAUCGAGUUUUGAAAGCGAAGGUCUGUUGCUGGCGCGGAAACGCGCACAUGUGCACGGCUUUCGUACUCAAAUCCAAACUCUCAACCCCCUGUGCACCUUAACAGUUGAAGUUUAGUAGUCUCUCUCCGAAGGGGCCAAGUACGAUUCACUAGUGAGUCGGAAAAGCUUAGAGAGGAAGAGGCGAACGCUUUGGCUAUUAUGUUACAAAAACACCUUUUUUUGUUGUAAUGUGAAUGUAAUGCUCCUUGUGGGCGAUAAUGAAAUACAACUUUCAACAACGGAUCUCUUGGCUCUC